CUUCAUUCUCUCCUUUUCUCCCUUCCUUUUUCUCCCUCUUCUAACCCCCCCCAUCUCUCUCUAGGGAAAAACUUGGUAUCUGUGCCAACUUUCUUCCCCCUUCCCUCCCUCCUUCUCUCCUACUCUUUCCCCCCUCCCAACUGCUGCCAGCCGGCGUCAGCGCCGAAUUGCCAUCUCCCUCAGCUCUCUGUGGAGCAAUCUUGAGGAUCAGUAAGGUGUGACGCUGGGCUCUGCCGGCUUCGCAGCACCGCCUGCGGAAAGAGCGCAGGAUGGAGGAGGAAGAUUAAGAGAAAUCGCGAGCAGGGCUCUGCUGCCAUUGAGACUACCUCUUCCCCACUGCCCCCAGGAAUCCUAAGAGAAGUCAAGACGUGGAAAUGAGGGAGCAAAGCUAUGCUUGAAGAAUCAAAUGGUCAUUGGGCCACCAUCUUUCUGCAGAGAAGAGAAAAGAAUGCUCCAUUUUUCAGUCCUCUGAAGUCACAGUUGGGUCAUUGCAGUGAUCAGAGUCUGGAUAUGUUUCAACAUUGUUUUCCUUGAGUUCAUUGUGGUCUUGGGGUAGAUUGCUGCUCCCAGUUCAUCAGUUCAUACAAGUCUCCACAAAUUUUUCUGAAUUCUUCAUUUUUAUAAUUGUCUUUUUUUUUAUUUUGUCUGAGCCUAUGAUUUUCAUUGGUAAAAGGAAUUCCCAGGGAAGAAACUCCCUGUACCAAUAAGGGUGAGCAAGUCUUCUGCAGUUUCUUGUCCUAGAGAUUUGCCUAGGGCACUGAGAAGUUAUAUGGCUUACCCAGGAUCAAACAACCUGAGUGCCUUAAAAAUAACUGGGCUGUCCUAACUCUGAGGCCAGUCCUCUAAUCACUACACCAUGCUCCUGCCACUCCACACUGUUUGUUUCGUAAGGUACAAUAAUAUUACAUUGCAUUUAUAUACCACAAUUUGGCAAUUCCCUAGUUGGCACUUACUUCAUUUCCAGUUCUGUGCUAUCAUAAAAGGUGCCACUAUAAAUAUUUUUGUAUAUAUGGGACCUUUUCUCUCUCUCCUUGACUUCCUUGGGAUAUGUCCGGUAGUGAUAUAAUAGUUCAAAGGGUAUGUACAGUUCAGUGACUUUUUUUUUUUCUUCAGGCAUUUGGGGUUAAGUGACUUUAGUGACUUUUCUAUUGCAGUUGAAAAUUGUUUUCCAGAAAAGGCCGAAAUGGUUACUAGUUCCACCAAACAGUACAUUAGUGUCUCUGUCUUUCUACAACUCCUGACACUUCCAGUGGUCUUUCUCUAGCAUAUAUUUCUAAUAUAGGCUAAGAUUUCUUCUGAGCCCUCUAUAGAAAGCUCCUAGAGCAGGGUAUCUGAACCUUUUCAAUAUCAUAGACCCCUUUAUCAGUCUGGUGAAGCCCAUGGACCCCUUCUCUUGAUAAUAUUUUUAAAUGCAUC